rnacentral:rRNA from 1 species
GACGGAGGAUGCAAGUGUUAUCCGGAAUCACUGGGCGUAAAGCGUCUGUAGGUGGUUUAAUAAGUCAACUGUUAAAUCUUGAGGCUCAACCUCAAAAUCGCAGUCGAAACUAUUAGGCUAGAGUAUAGUAGGGGUAGAGGGAAUUUCCAGUGGAGCGGUGAAAUGCGUAGAGAUUGGAAAGACCACCGAUGGCGAAGGCACUCUACUGGGCCACUACUGACACUGAGAGACGAAAGCUAGGGGAGCGAAUGGG